rnacentral:rRNA from 1 species
ACGAACGCUGGCGGCAUGCCUAACACAUGCAAGUCGAACGAGACCUUCGGGUCUAGUGGCGCACGGGUGCGUAACGCGUGGGAACCUGCCCUUAGGUUCGGAAUAACUCCCCGAAAGGGGUGCUAAUACCGGAUAAUGUCUUCGGACCAAAGAUUUAUCGCCUUUGGAUGGGCCCGCGUUGGAUUAGCUAGUUGGUAGGGUAAAAGCCUACCAAGGCGACGAUCCAUAGCUGGUCUGAGAGGAUGAUCAGCCACACUGGGACUGAGACACGGCCCAGACUCCUACGGGAGGCAGCAGUGGGGAAUAUUGGACAAUGGGCGAAAGCCUGAUCCAGCAAUGCCGCGUGAGUGAUGAAGGCCUUAGGGUUGUAAAGCUCUAUUACCCGGGAUGAUAAUGACAGUACCGGGAGAAUAAGCUCCGACUAACUCCGUG